rnacentral:rRNA from 1 species
UAAGACGAACUGUGCAAACGUUAUUCGGAAUCACUGGGCUUAAAGGGUGCGUAGGCGGUCUGUUAAGUAGGGUGUGAAAGCCUCUGGCUCAACCAGAGAAUGGCGCCCUAAACUGGCGGGCUUGAGUGAGGUAGGGGUGUGUGGAACUUCCAGUGGAGCGGUGAAAUGUGUUGAUAUUGGAAGGAACGCCGGUGGCGAAAGCGACACACUGGACCUUGUCUGACGCUGAGGCACGAAAGCCAGGGGAGCGAACGGGAUUAGAUACCCCGGUAGUCCUGGCCGUAAACGCUGAGUACUAGUGGGGAGGGGCCUGCGCCCUUCCUCACGGAGCAAAAGUUUUAAGUACUCCGCCUGGGGAGUAUGGUCGCAAGGCUG